rnacentral:rRNA from 1 species
CAGCCGCCGCGGUAAUACAGAGGGUGCAAGCGUUAAUCGGAAUUACUGGGCGUAAAGCGCGCGUAGGUGGUUUGUUAAGUUGGAUGUGAAAGCCCCGGGCUCAACCUGGGAACUGCAUCCAAAACUGGCAAGCUAGAGUACGGUAGAGGGUGGUGGAAUUUCCUGUGUAGCGGUGAAAUGCGUAGAUAUAGGAAGGAACACCAGUGGCGAAGGCGACCACCUGGACUGAUACUGACACUGAGGUGCGAAAGCGUGGGGAGCAAACAGGAUUAGAUACCCGAGUAGUCCCUGUCUCUUAUAC